AACUGGUUGUGAUACUACUUCCUUCCUCAUGGCACUCGUCAAGCAUACUAAUCCCAUGACUCUAUGCAUGGUGGCUACUUCGUUGGCGCUUCUUGCCAUCAUGUCUUCAAACACCCGAUCUUGCGAAGCUUGGAACGGCUUCAGCGGCCGGGUUGGGUUACUGUCACUGAACGGGGACUUGCCGCAAGAAUCACCACCACCACCAGCAUCAAGGGCACCACCACGGGCAGAACCGUGCUUUUUGCCCACUAAUCCAGACUAUUGUACGGACCCGAUCUGCGUGCAUGUAUGCGAGGUACAUGGAAUUAGCAACAGCCCCGCCUACUGCAGGCAAGAAGCAGGCUAUGACAUGUGCUGCUGCCCAAAUCCUAAUUGACGCCGUUGUAAUGUUCCCAUCGAUCUGUGUGAUGAAAAUUCAAUAAAUUUUCUUUAUCUAUAAC